UACGAAGGGGGCUAGCGUUGUUCGGAAUUACUGGGCGUAAAGCGCACGUAGGCGGUCGCUUAAGUCGAAAGUGAAAUCCCGGGGCUUAACUCCGGAACUGCUUUCGAAACUGAGCGGCUUGAAUGUGACAGAGGAUGAUGGAAUUCCUAGUGUAGAGGUGAAAUUCGUAGAUAUUAGGAGGAACACCAGUGGCGAAGGCGGUCAUCUGGGUCAACAUUGACGCUAAGGUGAGAAAGCGUGGGGAGCAAACAGG
rnacentral:rRNA from 1 species